GAAGAAUUUAAUUGUCUUUCUUUUGAGAUUAUUACAGGGAUCCAAAUGCCUCAUGGUACAAACUUUGUAUGUGGCUUGCCCCACUCAUAAUCAUGCAAAUGGAACUCUUUGAUGAUUCCUUUGUAAACCAAUAUCGGGGUGGAGAUACCGAAGAUACCUACAAGCUCCAAAUUUCGGCUACUCAAACGAAAGUUAUUCUCCAUUGAGGCUCCCCAUUCCCUGAUCCACUCGUUCUUGUUGUAUU
rnacentral:misc_RNA from 1 species